CAGAUAGCUCAGUCGGUAGAGCAAAGGACUGAAAAUCCUUGUGUCGCUGGUUCGAUUCCGGCUCUGGG
rnacentral:tRNA from 4 species